rnacentral:misc_RNA from 1 species
UCCGAGUUGACCCCGGCAGUCUCCUACGAGUCCCCGGCAUUACCCGCUGGCAACAUAGGACGAGGGUUGCGCUCGUUGCGGGACUUAACCCAACAUCUCACGACACGAGCUGACGACAGCCGUGCACCACCUGUGUAGGGCCCCGAAGGACACCGUAUCUCUACGGCUUUUCCCUACAUGUCAAGCCUUGGUAAGGUUCUUCGCGUUGCAUCGAAUUAAGCAACAUGCUCCGCCGCUUGUGCGGGCCCCCGUCAAUUCCUUUGAGUUUUAGCCUUGCGGCCGUAGUCCCCAGGCGGGCCACUUCCCGCGUUAGCUAAGGACCCCAAAGACGGAGAUUCCGCCUCCAAAGGCCGAGUGGCCAUCGUUUACGGCGUGGACUAC